UUAAAAGAUUUCGGUUUAUUGGUAUUACUUGGAUUGAAACCAGCCCAAAUUGUAUUACGCCUGACUUCUGAAUCUAUUCAGUGGUUAUAUAGUAAAAUCGGCAAGAAAUAUGCAGAGUAGCGUCGUCUUCGUACUAGUUGUGGUUCUGAUACUGCAUAUUGCCAUCGAAGAUGCAGAUGCAGCUGUUCUGGAGGAACUGGAAGCGAAGUUAUUCCGUGCGGAGCGUCGUGCCAUACAAGCCCAACAACUAGCAGCAGGUGGCGGGUGUAUGCCACAAUCCUGUAUAAAUCAAGGUUGCUGCUCCGGAAACUGCAAUGGAUGGUGCCGAGACUGUGGUUUUGGAGAAUGCAACCACGGAUAACAGCAACCGUGAUACUCGCGUCAUUCAUGUGUAAAAUAGUACCUGUACAGUGUACAAUAAAAGUGUACAUCAACGACAUCAAACCACAGCGAAGUGUUUAAUAAAUUAAAAUAUUAUGUGUUUAACAAACUAAUAUCUGCACUAAUAAUUUGCAUCUUCGACGUUCCAAACAAAAUCCGUAAGCGCAAAAUUAGUGCAGGGCGACUUUACCGAAAUUAUUCAUUAGAAAGAACAAUGAGCGUUGCAGUUAUUAUUAUUUUAGUUUGGUCUACUCCGGCACAGUAGAAAAACU